AUGGGGUUGGGGCUGCACUGGGUUUUCUUUGUUGCUCUUUUAAAAGGUGUCCACUGUGAGGUGCAGCUGGUUGAGUCUGGUGGAGGAUUGGUGAAGCCUGCAUGGUCACUGAAAGUCUCCUGUGCAACCUCUGGAUUCACCUUCACUGACUAUGCCAUGCGCUGGGUCCGCCAGUCUCCAGGGAAGGGGCUGCAGUGGGUUGCAAGCAUAAGUACUAAACCUAAUAAUUAUGCAACCUAUUACUCAGAUUCGGUGAAAGGCAGAUUCACCAUCUCCAGAGAUGAUUCCCGAAGCAUGGCCUACCUGCAAAUGAACAACCUGAGAACUGAGGACACGGCCACCUAUUACUGUACAGCUGACACAGUGAGGAGUCUCCAGUGUGUCUACUCCCCGGUUGAGCUGCACCAGUCUGAUCCUCAGCUGGUGAAGCCUGGCUUCUCAGUGAAGUUGUCCUGCAAAGCUUCCGGCAUCACCUUCACUGACUACUAUGUUUACUGGGUGAAGCAGAGGCCUGGACAGGGACUAGAGUUGGUUGGAGAUAUUGAUCCUGAAAAUGGUGAGACUGACUACAAUCAGAAGUUCCAGGGCAAGGCCACAAUCACUGCAGACACAUCCUCCAGCACAGCCUACAUGGAGCUCAGCAGGCUGACGUCUGAGGACUCUGCAGUCUAUUACUGUGCUACACACAGUGUUGCAACCACAUCCUGA